CUUGGGAGAGAUCAAAUUUGGUCUCAAUUCUUGCAAUCUAGCUAACCCAAUUUUAUAAAUAAUUAGGGUAGGUUGUGCCAUCUGGAGGCAGCCCAAAAGGGGGUGCCUCAUUUCAAGUUAACGCCAAAACCAAGAGUCCUCUUGGUUGAGGACUCCUGGUGCAAAUUUGAGAAGAGCGCAUGUGCUCUCUUUUUUUGGUGUGCCGAAGGACCAAGAGUCCUUCUCCCUUG
rnacentral:lncRNA from 1 species